AGAGUUUGAUCCUGGCUCAGGAUGAACGCUAGCUACAGGCUUAACACAUGCAAGUCGAGGGGCAGCAUGGUCUUAGCUUGCUAAGGCCGAUGGCGACCGGCGCACGGGUGAGUAACACGUAUCCAACCUGCCGUCUACUCUUGGACAGCCUUCUGAAAGGAAGAUUAAUACAAGAUGGCAUCAUGAGUCCGCAUGUUCACAUGAUUAAAGGUAUUCCGGUAGACGAUGGGGAUGCGUUCCAUUAGAUAGUAGGCGGGGUAACGGCCCACCUAGUCUUCGAUGGAUAGGGGUUCUGAGAGGAAGGUCCCCCACAUUGGAACUGAGACACGGUCCAAACUCCUACGGGAGGCAGCAGUGAGGAAUAUUGGUCAAUGGGCGAGAGCCUGAACCAGCCAAGUAGCGUGAAGGAUGACUGCCCUAUGGGUUGUAAACUUCUUUUAUAAAGGAAUAAAGUCGGGUAUGCAUACCCGUUUGCAUGUACUUUAUGAAUAAGGAUCGGCUAACUCCGUGCCAGCAGCCGCGGUAAUACGGAGGAUCCGAGCGUUAUCCGGAUUUAUUGGGUUUAAAGGGAGCGUAGAUGGAUGUUUAAGUCAGUUGUGAAAGUUUGCGGCUCAACCGUAAAAUUGCAGUUGAUACUGGAUAUCUUGAGUGCAGUUGAGGCAGGCGGAAUUCGUGGUGUAGCGGUGAAAUGCUUAGAUAUCACGAAGAACUCCGAUUGCGAAGGCAGCCUGCUAAGCUGCAACUGACAUUGAGGCUCGAAAGUGUGGGUAUCAAACAGGAUUAGAUACCCUGGUAGUCCACACGGUAAACGAUGAAUACUCGCUGUUUGCGAUAUACGGCAAGCGGCCAAGCGAAAGCGUUAAGUAUUCCACCUGGGGAGUACGCCGGCAACGGUGAAACUCAAAGGAAUUGACGGGGGCCCGCACAAGCGGAGGAACAUGUGGUUUAAUUCGAUGAUACGCGAGGAACCUUACCCGGGCUUGAAUUGCACUCGAAUAUAGCGGAAACGUUAUAGCUAGCAAUAGCGAGUGUGAAGGUGCUGCAUGGUUGUCGUCAGCUCGUGCCGUGAGGUGUCGGCUUAAGUGCCAUAACGAGCGCAACCCUUGUCUAUAGUUACUAACAGGUGAUGCUGAGGACUCUAUGGAGACUGCCAUCGUAAGAUGUGAGGAAGGUGGGGAUGACGUCAAAUCAGCACGGCCCUUACGUCCGGGGCCACACACGUGUUACAAUGGGGGGUACAGAGGGCCGCUACCACGCAAGUGGAUGCCAAUCCCGAAAGCCUCUCUCAGUUCGGACUGGAGUCUGCAACCCGACUCCACGAAGCUGGAUUCGCUAGUAAUCGCGCAUCAGCCAUGGCGCGGUGAAUACGUUCCCGGGCCUUGCACACACCGCCCGUCAAG
rnacentral:rRNA from 1 species